CAAUCGCGAUCUUGUAAAAACAGGCAGAACGGAACAAAUUCGAUGUUAAAUACGACAUGAAUUUUUAUUUGUUUGCAAAAACAAGAAUUCAGAAAUGUUGGCUACUUGUGUAGCUUAUUUAAAUUUUAUUGUACCACGGAAAUUACCGAAGUUAUGACAACAACAUCCGACGCCAUGUUUCGUCUGCUUCAACAUUCCAUUAUCAGUGAGGUCAAAGCAAAUGUCCUAAAUAAUCACAGGAUAUGGAUUGAUACCUUGUCAAGUUGUCAAAUGAGUAGUGCUCAGAUUUUAAUGUACACAGCACUGUGAUAUUCCAGCUAGUACACUGACCUUUGUACCAUAUACAUGGGUCUUAAAUAUUGUGUAUUAAAAGAACAGAACCCUAGAAUAGUUUUCGUUGUAUUUGACCAGAAAAUACCCCGUUACACAAUAUCUG